GGUGAGUUAUUUAGGGCAUGCUACAGUGUUCCUGGGGGCUCUUAAGCUGCUGUUUUGACCCUCUGGCUUUCUGGGAAAGAGAUCCUUAAUCCACCUGUUAUUUGAGGUGUGAUUUUCUAGGAAUGGGCUCUUUGAAACUGUAAACUGUGUUCUCUGUCCUUUUUUCCACACCAUCCACUCUUGUUAGCUGUCACAGCUUUGAUUUUCUUGGCCAACAUGGAAGUUUUCUACAUUUACUAACUGUAGCCUAGGCUAUGCUGCAAAAACAAAUAGCUGUGAAAUUAGAGCCACUUAAUUCUACUGAGGUUUAUUUCUUAUUCUUAUUCUCUGUAUCCAUCUUCAGCUGGUUGAGGCCUCUGCUCCAUUUAAUCACUUGGGGAGUCAGAUUGAAGAACCACCAUCUUGUAUGUACAUUAUCUGGAAACACUCCCUCUUUAAUCUCCAUUUCAGGGAAGGAGGGAAAAUGGGGAAUUCCAUUUGGGUCUUUUACUACCUCAGCCCAAAAGUGACACACAUUGCUUCCUCUCACAUUUCAUGGACUCACAUUAGUCAUGUAUACCUGACUGUAAGGGUUGCAGUGAAGAGGAGUGAAAGGAAUAUUUGGGGAACGUUAUCACCCAUGCUGUAUUUUUCUAUGACCCAGAAAAUGUUGCAGUUUCCGAACACUUCGUGAGGUUGAUGGGAUCUAAUUCAUUUUCUUGUCUUCCUCCUCAGUUGGUAGAAGGGUCUCUUGGAAUCCACAGAUCUAGGUAACUUCUAAAUGAGGCAUAGGUCCCACCAUGCACCUGGAUUGCAGGUAUUUUCUAUUGGAGGGUUCUUUUGGAAAUACUAUCAUUCCAGCCCAAGGCUGCUGGGACUGGCAUUUUUGGGAACAUUCCACUGUACCUCACGUCCAUUCUUGGUUCCUACUCAACAGCUAAAGCUCUUUGAUCAUCCAUCUAUUUCUGUUCUCUCAUUCCCUUGCUCUUCUACUUCUCUGUGAACCCAAGGGGACAAGGGAGACUUUUCUCUCCUCUGCAACAUAGGAAACAAACCAGUAGACAAACUCCAGCUUUUUGGUUUGAGCCUUAGGUGAAGAUUGAGCUGUGCCUGAGGCCAUCCUUCUUCCUGCAGCCUCUCAGGAGGGCUCCUCAUAAGUUCAUACCUCUUUUCCUUACAACUAGAAGCUAGGAUCAGUGAAUUAUGUAUGAUAGUAAAAAGGUUAAGGGAUUCCUACUGGAUGGUCUCCAUUUCUUUUUGGAAGAAGGUAGAGGAAUUAGAGAACUUAAGAGUAGAAAAAAUUGGAAAAGCCACUGUGAAGAGGUAUGGAGGAGGAAGAGAGAUCCCUAGUGCUGCUUUAUUUUUCAUCCUGUGCCAAAUUCUCUUUUAAAGUUCUAUUUUGCUGUGCCACCCUCUCUCUCUUCCCUCUUGCUGGUCUUUACCAAACUCUUGGUUAUUCUCCCUCCUUUUUUGAGGACUUUGGUGCCGAGUUUGAAGUCUUCCAACUAACCCUAUUAACUUCCUCUCAAUUUUACCUCUUCCUUUUUUAGCUGUGUUCCAUCAUUUGCCAAUGGCAGCUCAGCUUCUUUGUUCUUUUAUUCUUUUAUUGGACCUAUCUAGCAAAACUAUGUCUAAAGAUCUAUUCACCUAGUCCAAUCCUAUGCCCAGACUGAUAGCAUUUCUGGAGAUAGAAACUCAACAGUGGCAAUUGAUAUUCUUAAAUGCAUGAUUUCCAUCCCCAGCCAAACCCUCAUAUAUCAGACACUACAUACAUGGUAUAAAUAAUGUUAAAUAGUGGGAAACAAACACUCUCUUUCUUUGUUCAGUUCUCUCCCUAUUAUCCAUAGUAGUUCUCUAUGCUGUUUCUACUUCCCUUCUCUACACUUCUCAAAUUUCUUAUUUCUCUACCUUCUUCAAAAUGACAUUGAAAUUCAUAUAGAAGUCAGUAUCCAAAAGAGCUUGGGAAUUAGGCCAAUUGUAGAGCUAAGUCUUCUGAUAGUCUUGCUGUUUUAAAUAUUAUUGUCUAUCAGCCAUUCAUUACUACCUUUUUCCAUGCAAAGGGAACACCAGUGUUGUUCAAGAAAUCAUACCUUAGUGAAAAUGCAUGGCCCUCUCUCCAGCUCAGGAAUAAAAGCCUAUUAGUUUAAUUCAGUCAUGUGACUUGUCCCUCUGGCCUGCCUUCUCCCUCCUCCCCUAACUGAUUGAUUCAGGGCUGUCUAGGAACUUCUCUCUGGCCUCUGAAAUUCUCAAGAAUAAUAUAACCUUUUUUAAAAAAAUACUACCUUCUUCAUACAUAAUGGGUAAAGAUAAGCACUAUAUUGGAUCCUUAUUUGAAGUGUUCAGUUCCCAGCUUUCUCAGUGUAAUUCCAUUCCUCUUUAACUCCCACUUGGACAAAAGUACAUAUGAAUGAAUAAAAUUGAUGUUGUAGCAAGAAUCCAAAAUUUACUGUGCUUUAUCGAAAUGAGUAAUUCUUUCCAAAAACUUGCUGUGAUUCAAAUGAUCAUGUUAUAUCCCCAUGUUUCCACAUAGAGGCUGAGAAUAGUUAACUUGGAACCUUCUAUGGAGAAGGGAAGAGGCUGGUUAUUCCUUACAUUAGAAUACAAAGGAAGUUAAAUUACAAAGGAAGAUGACUAUGAUGUGGCAUAGAGUUUUACAAGUGAGAUAAUAAUUAUACGAUAUAGGGUAGUUCUGAUUAUCAGAGAACAAAGUUCCAACAAAUUGAGUUUAAUGAUCUAAUUGGCUUUUAUUAGUGAUUCAUGGAUUGGGCGGCUUCUCCUCUGUGAAGUAGGAAGGUGCUCUGCUGAGCUGAGCAGAGGGAGCUGGCUUUAUAGGCAGAAAAGGACUGAAUUAAGAACAAAAAGUAGAUUAAUUGUUUCAAAGUUACUUUCCCUACAGGGUAAAAACAGAGGGGAUUUCUUUAUCAUGCUGGCUCAGGUAGACUAGGCCCUUUUCUGUUGGAAUCUCCUAUUUUAUUUUGAAAAUUGGCCCAUUUUAAAAUUCAGCUUAUGUGAC
rnacentral:lncRNA from 1 species